GAUGAACGCUGGCGGCGUGCCUAAUACAUGCAAGUCGAGCGAACAGACGAGGAGCUUGCUCCUCUGACGUUAGCGGCGGACGGGUGAGUAACACGUGGAUAACCUACCUAUAAGACUGGGAUAACUUCGGGAAACCGGAGCUAAUACCGGAUAAUAUAUUGAACCGCAUGGUUCAAUAGUGAAAGACGGUUUUGCUGUCACUUUUAGAUGGAUCCGCGCGGGAUUAGCUAGUUGGUAAGGUAACGGGUUACGAAGGCAACGAUGCGUAGCCGACGUGAGGGGGUGAUCGGCUACACUGGAACGGAGACACGGUCCAGACGCCUACGGGAGGGAGCAGUAGGGAAUCUGACGCAAUGGGCGAAAGCUUGACGGAGCAACGCCGCGUGAGUGAUGAAGGUCUUCGGAUCGGAAAACUCUGUUAUUAGGGAAGAACAAAUGUGUAAGUAACUAUGCACGUCUUGACGGUACCUAAUCAGAAAGCCACGGCUAACUACGUG
rnacentral:rRNA from 1 species